rnacentral:lncRNA from 1 species
UUGCAAUUUGUUGAUUAGUAAUUAAUUAGAGGACUCUCCCUAAUUGGUUAAUAAUAAAGGAGAAGUAUGGUUGUGAGAAGCAUCUUCAAUCGCCAUGACUAAUUUAUUGAAUCAAGCAAGAGAACAUAAGUGUCAAUGAUCAAUUCCAUCAACUAAAGUGAAUCCGAAUCUUCAACUAGAGCUUUUCUUCUUAUUGUUUUCUCUUCAUUUUUUAUUAUUUGCUUUACUUUAUUGCUUUCAUCAUUAGUUUAAUCAAAUCAAUCUCAAAACCUCCCCUUUUUACUUUCUUUGCACUUUGCUUUUAUUUUAUUUUUAGUUUGUUUUCUUGGUCUUGAUAAGGAAAAUAGGUAAGUAUCAAUUCCCUGUGGAUUCGAUCCUUUCACCACUAUCUACAGUUGUAAUAUUGUUUGUAGCUGAAUUGAUUAUUUUUUACCGACUUCGACAACCGUUCUGUCAAAAAUUGGCCCCGUUGCCGGGGAAUUGAUUUAACUUAUUUGUUUUUCUUUCAGGACUAGAUCUGCCACCCAAAGAACACCUCAUCGCAGAUCUGAACAUAAAAAAAAAGAGAAUGAAGACCACAUUUGCGUAGGAGCACCUUUUGCAACACAUUCGGCCGCCGAACUUCAUCAAUAUUCGGCCGCCUAACCUCUUCCACAUUCGGCCGCCGAACUCCAUCAAUAUUCAGCCGCCUAACCUCUUCCACAUUCGGCCGCCGGACCUCAUCCUCAUUUGGCCGCCGAACCUUUCACUUAAGGCACAGUCACCAUCGCAGAUCUGAAUCAUGGAUGAGGUAAGUAUGUCCAAAUAUGAAUCUCAAAUGUCACAUCUAAUCUCUCUUGUGGAAAAUUAUGCCAUAGGUCAAGCUCGAAGAGCCCAACAGUUUCGGCCACCUCGGCCAUGUGGGAUAUGUGCAUAUGUAGGACACCCAACUGAUCAAUGUCCUAUAUUUUAUGAGGAUUACCAGCAAGCACAUGCAUUUAAAGGAUACUAUGGACAGCCAAGACGUGAUCCCUACCUUGACACAUACAAUACAUGUUAGGGAGGCCAUCCAAAUUAUGGCUAUGCUAGGGCUGACCACUACCAGGACUACCAAGACUACCAAGCCCAACCAGCACCUCCAUGUUCAGAACCUAGCAAUGGUGAGUUAGCAAAGACUUUGCAAGUGAUGCAACAGUAGAUUGAUCAAAUGACCAACUCACUGAAUGCAAUCAAAUUAAGGCGUGAGGAAGAGCUUCAAGAUAUAUGGGAUGAUGAUGAAAGUUCACAAGUAUAAGAACAAAGUGCUGAAGAGAAACAACCAGAAAACUAUUUGUCCAAACAAACUGAUCAAACAGAACCUGUUGUUGAUUUAGAUAUCAUUAAUUGUAUGAACCAAGAAAUUUUUUAUGUAAAUCAAAAUGAUAUGCUAAACAAUGAUUCUUGCAGGGAGGCUAGCAAAAAAGAUGAAGAAAGCAAAAAAGAGCCAAACUGCAUCCAACAGAUGGACUGCAGUCUUGCGCAGAAAGGGCCUAGAUCGCAGAUGGGCCAAACACAGAUGGGCCUUGCACAAAAAGAGAAGCCCGAUUCUCCUUCAGUCAUUCCUCCAUCGCAGAAAGCCCAUGCACACAAUGAACAAAUGGAAUUCCAAGAUCCAAAACCAAAGGAACAUACAAAUCUAUGCCUGCCCAAACCACCAGAUAAGGUAAAGUUUGUUUUGCCCGAAUUCAGUGCCACAUUACAGACAUCUAUGAGAAAACAUGAAUUGGAAUUCAAGGUACUGCCAAAUCAUCUCAAAAAUGCAAACAUAAGGGCAAGAGGCAUACCUCAUCUGAAAGAGGAGAAACUGAUCAUGUUACUUCAUGAGUACAUGAAAGAAAUAAGAUGGGUUAUGACCAAAGUAAAAGGCAUGCUACACUUUAUUCUUAAUUCUGUUGGGACCCUUUUCCCUCCCCCGAUUACCUGAGGCAACUUGCCAAGUGGAUCGCACCACCCAACACCACACCAAGGGGAGUACUCAGUUUCUUCUGUUCUUUUAUGUUUUCUAUACAUUGAGGACAAUGCAUGAUUUAGGUGUGGGGGUGCGGAUCUGAGAAUUUUUAAUUUUUCCUUUAAUUUUUGCUUUAGACACAUUUUUCCUUUCAGUCAUUUUUGUUUACACACAUUGUUAUUUUUGUUGCACUCAUAGGUAGCCACAGUUUUUUUUUUCAAUUUUUAUUUUGAUUGCUUUACUCAAAGUGAUGAGCUAUGUUGGAUGAGCUAUGUUGGAUGAGCUUUUUUUCUAUGACCCCAUUGAUGUGAUAACUCUUUAAACCUAUGUUGAAUCAAUUGCAAUGAGAUAUAUUCAUUUUUGAGAAUUGCCUUUUGAAUUGAAUCUUUGAGCUUGCCAUGGUGAAAAAUGUAUUGAUGACACUCAUUUGAGAGAAUUAAUUAAUUCAUGUGUGAAUGAACUUAACAUGACUUGUUUUAGCAAUUAGUGUUGAUUUGUCCAAUCAUUGAGAAAUAAAAAAUUCAGCAAAGGCAAGACUUCAAAACCACAAUGAAAAACUGUUCCAAUGGUCAAAAGACUAUGAACAGAGCUAGUAGCCACUUGGAUAGGUGACCAACUGAGUAACUGGGGGUGGGUAUCACAAAUAUGUACCUUCACGUCAAAAGGUUGGUGACUUUUUCAAGCAAAAUUAAAGUGCAAAAGGCUGAAUAAAAUGCUUCAAGGUAAGGGCAAAUCACUCUGAAAGCUAGAAAAAGUCCUAAUUAAACUGAACAUGUGCAUGUAUAAUCUCUUUCUUGAGUAAAACAAAUCCUAGCCAUGGUGAGUAAAGGGAAACAAGGAAAGAAGGUAAGUAACCUUGAUACAUAUAUUCUUCAUUGCAAUGAUUCAAAAUAGGGGUCUAGAGUAAGAGCUUAAGUGGACAUAAAGGAUGAAAGCAAAGAGAGCUUAUUUGACUAUGCUUAUUUGCUUGAGGACAAGCAAAAGGCUAGGUGCGGGGGUAUUUGACAGAGCAUAAUUUAGGCCAUAUUAUCAUGAUGUUAAUGAGGUUUAUUUGCACCUUUUCUGCCUAAUUUUGUGGUUUUGUUCAUGUUUUGCAGAAACUAGGUGUGAAAAGACAAUCUGGUGAAAAUGCUCUUAAAACUGCCAAAAAAAGUGCCAAAUAUGGAAAGUUCCAAAUAAGAAAAGUUUUCAUAUAUGGAAAGUUCUAAAUAAGGAAAGAGUCAGAUAAGGAAAGCACAGUUGGCGGGCUGUUUGAAAUUCAAACUGCAGAUCUUCCUUGCCUUUUUCAGAAUGUGAAGCCAAACAAGGAAAGUGCCAAACAAGGAAAGUGUCAGAAAAGGAAAGUGCAAUCAACAGAAGAUUUGAAAUUCAAAUUGCAGAUCCUUCUUUCCUUGUAGGUAAGGUCAAAUAAGGAAAGUAACAGAUGAGGAAAGUGUAGUCAGCAGAUCGUUCGAAAUUCGAAUCGCAAAUCUUUCUUUCCUUAUUUAAAGAUAUGCAGACACCUCAGCAGAUCCUCCUAUUUAGGAAGCAAGAUCUCAAGAUGCACUUGGCCUUUAUUCAGUCCAGAUUCAAGGGGAUGCACUUGGCUCUUAUUCAGUCUAGAUUCAAGAUUUGAAAUCCAAACGAAGGCUCCACCUAAUAAGGCAAGUAAGAUCACGCUCCUCUUUCCCUUCUGAGAGCCAAUCCGCGCGCCUUCUUGCCUUCUGAAGACCAAGGCACACCACUUUCCCUCUGAAGAGCCUGCCGCGCGCACAACUUCCUUCUGCAGUGCAUGCUGCGCGCCUCUUUCCUUCUGAAUAAUUUACAACGCGAUUCUUUCCUUUUCAAACACAACUUGAGCAGCAAGUAGCCUCUUGGGCAGCAAGGAGACCUAGGGCAACACUUUCAACUAUAAAAAGACACAUAAGGAGCCUCCCCAUGCUCUUUACACUCCCCUUGGGAGACACCUACGGGAUUCACAUCUCUUCUUCUACCUUUCUUUUUUUCUUUUAUUUUCUGUUUUGUUUCAGCCAUGAGAGGCUGAAAUCUUUUAUUCUAGUUGAAGAACAAGUGAAGCUUUAGUUGUUUCUAUGGAUUGAGAGACUUGGACUACAUUGUUAAUCUUUUGUUAUUCAAUAUUCAUGUAAUCUUAUGCUUAAUCCCAUUAUUGCUUUGUUGUUUGGAUCUACAUUGAUUCUUGAUUGCAGACUUGGACUACAUUGUUAAUCUUUUGUUAUUCAAUAUUCAUAUAAUCUUGUGCUUAAUCCCAUUAUUGCUUUGUUGUUUGGAUCUACAUUGAUUCUUGAUUGCAAGGUAAUUGAUAUUUAUUAGUUUGAAUAAUUUUAAAUCCGUAAUUGCUUGGAUUGUUCAAACAUAAGAACACUUGGUGUAAAAGCCAAGGAUAUUGCACGAUCUAGUGUUGUCACCAUGCUUGUGGGUAACUAGAAUUGGUUUUCUCCAUAUCUUAAUGCAAUUGACAAUUGUUAGUAAGCCUAAGGCUCAAGGACGUUCCUUGCAAUUUGUUGAUUAGUAAUUAAUUAGAGGACUCUCCCUAAUUGGUUAAUAAUAAAGGAGAAGUAUGGUUGUGAGAAGCAUCUUCAAUCGCCAUGACUAAUUUAUUGAAUCAAGCAAGAGAACAUAAGUGUCAAUGAUCAAUCCCAUCAACUAAAGUGAAUCCGAAUCUUCAACUAGAGCUUUUCUUCUUAUUGUUUUUCUCUUCAUUUUUUAUUAUUUGCUUUACUUUAUUGCUUUCAUCAUUAGUUUAAUCAAAUCAAUCUCAAAACCCCCCCUUUUUACUUUCUUUGCACUUUGCUUUUAUUUUAUUUUUAGUUUGUUUUCUUGGUCUUGAUAAGGAAAAUAGGUAAGUAUCAAUUCCCU